UAUGUAGUUUCUAAUGGCAUGUCAGUGUCUUCCUUUUUUCUUUUCUUUUUUUCAUUUAAUGUUGAAGUGAUUUGAAAUCUCGAGUCUUCUUUCUUACAUAUUUCUGAUAUGCAUGUUUAGUAAUCAGAAAUUGGCAAGUUUUUUAACUUUAUUUUACUAAUAGGCAUCUGAUAGAGGCAACUACUUGUGAACUAUGUUUCACUAGGUCACUUCUUUGUGGCUCAACGUGCAUGACCACAUUCCUUUAGCAUAGGUUUGACAGUAUCUUGUAAACCACAAAUGAUUUACUUGUGAUAUCAUUAUCUAUGUAUCAAUCUUGUGGAGAAUCUUACGUAUAUAAAAAAAUAAAUAAAUCUUGUGGAGCUACCUCAUCUUGCCUAAUUAUUGCUAAUCACAGUCCUUAGUUUAGGUAUAUUGCCGCUGUUCUUUCCCUCUGGAGGCAUAUCUUCCAUGCAGCUCCUGUUUUGGGCUUCCAAAUGAUCGAUAUCACCAAAUAAUUUUUUUGACUGAUGCAGAACCAAUUUCUUGCAUCGAUUGUUAAUCCUAAUUAGGUGUUUAUCUUGUAUACGACCUGUGUACAUGGGUUAUGCCUGUUGUUUUCAUUAAUAAAUUCUUGAUUACUCAUUGAAAAUAAGAGAGAUGAUGCUCACACAAAUGGUGCCUUUUCCAUCACUGAGACUAGCCAAAAUUGUCCAGAAGUCAAUGAUAUGGCUUUAGACUAUGGAGAUGGCUAUUGCAAGCAAAUUGUUAUGCCAAACACCAGUAGUGAAACGUUAUAUGUGUGUAUAUGUGUGUGUAUGUAUAUUUAUUAGAGUAAUUAGAGUAAUAAGAAUGAGCUAAUUUUGCAGGCUUUCCUAGCCAUUUCUAUUUUUGGGUAUUACCUUUUGUUAGUCACCGCAUAUAUUCUAUCAUUAUAAAGAAAAUAGCAUAUGUUAGACUAGUGAGCUAUGGCUAAAAUGUUACCUCUUACCCAGAUAGGAAUGUGGAGGUGGUUGAAUUUAUAUGUUCUAAACCUAAAUUUUCAUGAUUUUCUUGUUUCCACUAGUACGACUUAGAUAGGCCUUCUCCUUUGAAUGCCAUCUUGUGUACUUGGGCUUUUCCUAUCCAUUAUUAAUACCACCGUUUACUUAUAAAAAAAAAUUAUAUGUUCUAAAUCCAUUAGGUUUCUGUUGGAGGCCUUUUAAACACACAAAUGGACAUGAAAAAUUAUCCAUUAUUUAGUUUUAAAUUAAAGUAUCUUCCGAAACCAGAUCUUAUGACGCAUUUUGUCCCAACUUAACGGUAGGUUAGCAUGCAUGGUAAAUGUAGGGAAUGUAGGGAAAAUAUUUUAGUCUACACUUAAGGCGCCAACCAAUCUUUUGAUUUAUUUGGGUUGUGACAUAUUUUCUGGUGGGUGAAAAAAAAAAGACAAGGUUACCAAAUUACAGUUAUUAUAAUUGUCGCAAUGUGCUGGGCCAGGCGGUAAGCAUGGCCGAUUGGUGUGAUUGUUAGCCCCAUAUGUACCUUUAGAGAAGUCAAGGAGAUUGACUGAAGGUAUUCUUCUUGUUUUCUUGUGUGAGAAAUAUCAGCAAUCUUUCUUUCCUCUGGUAUAUCAAAAAAGAAAAAACAAAAACCUUCAGUGCUCCUUGGUUCAAUGAUAGCAGAUGGAAAAACUUCCUAUUGUAGGCAUUCUCUAGUUUCUUUCAAUGUGUUAUUGCUGCUUGAGUCUGGGUUACCACCCACUUUUGGAUCUUUGAUAGAAUAAUAAAUUUGGGUAGUUAUUUUGUUCGACAGAUUUUGGAUAACCUGCCUGCAUAUGCUUCUGGUUGCUUUGCAAAUGGAUAAAGAUUAUGUCUUAGGAUUAGUAUGGAAUAGGCAAGGGUUAUGCCUGCCACAGUGACAGAGCUCAUGGCCAGUUGGAUGAAUCUACGAGGUUUCCCACAAAUCUCAGUGGUGUGGAAAAUGAUCCCGAUUUGUGUCAUGUGGUGCCUAUGGAAGGAGCGAAAUGACUGGACAUUUGAAGACAAGGAGCGCUCACUAGAAGAACUUGAAUUAUUUUUUGUUAGCACUCUUUUUCUUUGGGCCACAACUAUAUAUUGUCGUGGACUUGGUUUUCAUGAUUUUCUUGUUUCUAUUACUUCUCUCUAACUAGGUGUGACCUUUGGUAUACCAUCUUGUGUACUUGGGCUAUGCCUAUUCA